AUUGAGCGCUGGCGGCAGGCCUAACACAUGCAAGUCGAACGGUAACAGAAGGCAGCUUGCUGCUUUGCUGACGAGUGGCGGACGGGUGAGUAAUGUCUGGGAAACUUCCUGAUGGAGGGGGAUAACUACUGGAAACGGUAGCUAAUACCGCAUAACGUCGCAAGACCAAAGAGGGGGACCUUCGGGCCUCUUGCCAUCGGAUGUGCCCAGAUGGGAUUAGCUAGUAGGUGGGGUAACGGCUCACCUAGGCGACGAUCCCUAGCUGGUCUGAGAGGAUGACCAGCCACACUGGAACUGAGACACGGUCCAGACUCCUACGGGAGGCAGCAGUGGGGAAUAUUGCACAAUGGGCGCAAGCCUGAUGCAGCCAUGCCGCGUGUAUGAAGAAGGCCUUCGGGUUGUAAAGUACUUUCAGCGGGGAGGAAGGGAGUAAAGUUAAUACCUUUGCUCAUUGACGUUACCCGCAGAAGAAGCACCGGCUAACUCCGUG
rnacentral:rRNA from 1 species